CCCUUAGAUGUCCUGGGCCGCACGCGCGUUACACUGAUGUAUUCAACGAGCUUAUAACCUUGGCCGAGAGGCCUGGGCAAUCUUGUUAACGUGCAUCGUGAUAGGGAUAGAUUAUUGAAAUUAUUAAUCUUGAACGAGGAAUUCCUAGUAAACGCAGAUCAUCAAUCUGCAUUGAUUACGUCCCUGUCCUUUGUACACACCGCCCGUCGCACCUACCGAUUGGAUGGUCCGGUGAAGCCUCGGGAUUGUGGUUCUUGCCGCUUUAUUGUGGCGUGACCGCGAGAACUUGUCUAAACCUUAUCAUCUAGAGGAAGGUGAAGUCGUAACA
rnacentral:rRNA from 1 species